ensembl:rRNA 5S_rRNA 5S ribosomal RNA
UCUGGCGACCAAAUCAAAGCUGUGACAGAUGCCCUCAAUCUCGUCUACUCUUGGAAACUAGGCAAGGUUGGGCCUGGUUAGUACUUGGAUGGGAGACCACCUAGGAAUACCAGGUGCUGUAGGUG